GACGAACGCUGGCGGCGUGCUUAACACAUGCAAGUCGAACGGAAAGGCCCUGCUUUUGUGGGGUGCUCGAGUGGCGAACGGGUGAGUAACACGUGAGUAACCUGCCCUUGACUUUGGGAUAACUUGAGGAAACUGGGGCUAAUACCGGAUAGGAGCUCCUGCUGCAUGGUGGGGGUUGGAAAGUUUCGGCGGUUGGGGAUGGACUCGCGGCUUAUCAGCUUGUUGGUGGGGUAGUGGCUUACCAAGGCUUUGACGGGUAGCCGGCCUGAGAGGGUGACCGGCCACAUUGGGACUGAGAUACGGCCCAGACUCCUACGGGAGGCAGCAGUGGGGAAUAUUGCACAAUGGGCGGAAGCCUGAUGCAGCAACGCCGCGUGCGGGAUGACGGCCUUCGGGUUGUAAACCGCUUUCGCCUGUGACGAAGCGUGAGUGACGGUAAUGGGUAAAGAAGCACCGGCUAACUACGUG
rnacentral:rRNA from 1 species